rnacentral:tRNA from 1 species
AAGAUUUUAAGUUAAAAAAACUGUUGAUUUUCAAAAUCAGAAUUAAAUUAUUUUAAAUCUUA